rnacentral:lncRNA from 1 species
CGGCAGCAGAAUUUGCUUCCCUUCGUUUCAACGAGCGAGCUGAAGUUCUAGCCAAUUCCGAUGACCACCGCUGAUGUAAACAAUCAAGAACCACCACCACUGGAAAUCUAACUUAUUAAGGUUUCGAACGGUACCUUCGGAUCAUCGAUGCUCCAACUUUAAGACCUCCGUUUAAUUGAUUUACGGAAAAGGCAAAACUCUGAAAUUGAAAUUCUGGACAGCUCGUCUUCUUUGUCGGAUUCCAGCCACCACCGCCGGCGACUGCUGCUGGAGACCACCACCACUAUAAAUCCGACUUUUUUUUCUUCAAUUAACUUCCAUGAUUUCAGCCAAGGAUCGAGAGAGAGAGGAAGAGAGAGAUGAUGAGAGAGAGCGAGAGAGAGAAAGGAGUUUGGAGAAGAGGAGUGAAGUGUAGGAAGAAUCGGAUGAAGAUGAAGAGGAAGUCUGACUCAUCUUUUAUUCUACGUGUCUCUCUCUCUAAUUUUCUUGGUUAAUAACAUUCAAUUAUCCGAUUACACAAGCCCCUCAAUUGCUUAAUGGCCAAG